rnacentral:rRNA from 1 species
AGCUCCAAUAGCGUAUAUUAAAGUUGUUGCAGUUAAAAAGCUCGUAGUUGAAACUUGGGCCUGGACGGGCGGUCUACCUAUGGUGAGUACUGCAGCGUCCGGGUCUUUCCUUCUGGCUAGCCAUUGGCGAACCAGGACGAUUACUUUGAGGAAAUUAGAGUGUUCAAAGCAGGCCUUUGCUCGAAUAUAUUAGCAUGGAAUAAUAGAAUAGGACGUAUGGUUCUAUUUUGUUGGUUUCUAGGACCAUCGUAAUGAUUAAUAGGGACGGUCGGGGGCAUCAGUAUUCAGUUGUCAGAGGUGAAAUUCUUGGAUUAACUGAAGACUAACUACUGCGAAAGCAUUUGCCA